ACUCACAGCAUUAUUUGAACCAGUCUUGUUAUGUUUAGCCCAGUCAAGCCUUUCAGAUGAACAGACUGCAAUUCUGUUUGAUGCUGAACAAUUAAACUCCACUCCACCAAUGACAGACUUCAUUGUAACACUUUUCAUCUGUGUUGGUAAUGGGGGACAGUGGCGGUCCACUGGCUUCUUUGACCUGGAAAUUGGUGGGAGCCACAAGCUGGGGACAAGGCUGUGCAGAAAAGAACAAACCUGGGGUUUACACACGCAUCACACAGUCCCUCACCUGGAUACAUCUGCAGAUGGAGGCCAGGAUAGUGAUCAUGUGUAUCUGUGAACUGAGUAUGAGACAGAAGUUUGUAGUUUGUCAAAAGUUCUUAGAAAUGAUUGGAAAAAUACCAGAACAACAGCAGUUGGAAUAGCUAUUUUUGUUGAGAAAGGUCAUACAGUUUAUCACGUGAUUUCACCAGUUAUUCCGAGAGAAGAAAUGCUGCACCCCUCUACAACCAGCUCUACAGUUUAAUUAUGGGAAAGACAACAUCAAGGAACUGAAUCCAGGCAGAAACUCCACAAAAAACAAACCUUGCACUGGUCACUGUAUGUCAUAUACAGGCACAGCAUAAGAAAUCAUUAUAUUACGUGCACUCAAAUCUGAAAAGGUUUUAUUUGGUGUAAGUAGUCUUAUACAGUACUUGCUAUUGUUUUAAGAAAUACCUGCCAAACAAUCCUCUGAUGUGUCCUGAAAGAUUAAAUACACAAAUAUUGCCAGAGACACACAAGCGACAAUGUGCUUAUGUCUAAUAUGCAAU